GGCAAACAGGGAAGAUCGAGCCAGUAGUCCUGCCAUUGCUGUGGUUCGAACAGAGCGGGAUGAUGGGUGGCAAGACCCUGAACACGUUCUACACGCAGCUGGUGCUGAUGCCCCAGGUUCUUCACUACGCGCAGUAUGUGCUGCUGGGGCUUGGAGGCCUCCUGCUUCUGGUGCCCAUCAUUUACCAACUGCGCAGCCAGGGCCCAGAAGACACCACGAGCCCCCCAAACCUGAUAGCUUGGUCAGACCAGCCGCCCAGUCCCUACACCCCACUUCUCGAGGACUCUCUCAGCGGACAACCCGCCAGUGCCACGUCCUGAGCCCCCAGAUGUCACACUGUCCACACGGCACAUAGUGUGCGGAAACACUCAGGGACCAGGGACAGACCCGCUGCUGAGUAGAGCCUGUUGGGCCACAGGCGACCUCUUCUAAGUGACCUGUGAGCCAGGCUGUGGGAACUGUAGCUGCCCCUCCUGUAGGAGCUGGCGCCGCCGGGGCUCCUGACUUUCUCCGUCUUUCUCCAGCAGGCUGAAAGCCUUAGUUCCCACAGAGGACACAGAUCUGUCACUCCUAGGGGCUGGGCAAACAUCGGCCUCUUGCGUCACGGCUGGACAAGCAGUUCCAGAUCCUGACCAGUCUGCACACACACUCUGGCGCUGUAUCUGGCCCUUCUCCUACAGUCUCUGCUGUCACCUGAACACUGAAUUGGCCACUGUAAGUGGCAGCGGUGGCAGGCCCCCUCAGGGUCCUUAUUUU
rnacentral:lncRNA from 1 species